GACGAACGCUGGCGGCGUGCUUAACACAUGCGAGUCGAACGGAAAGGCCCUUCGGGGUACUCGAGUGGCGAACGGGUGAGUAACACGUGGGUGAUCUGCCCUGCACUUUGGGAUAAGCCUGGGAAACUGGGUCUAAUACCGAAUAGGACCACGCGCUUCAUGGUGUGUGGUGGAAAGCUUUUGCGGUGUGGGAUGGGCCCGCGGCCUAUCAGCUUGUUGGUGGGGUAAUGGCCUACCAAGGCGACGACGGGUAGCCGGCCUGAGAGGGUGACCGGCCACACUGGGACUGAGAUACGGCGCAGACUCCUCCGGGAGGCAGCAGUGGGGAAUAUUGCACAAUGGGCGCAAGCCUGAUGCAGCGACGCCGCGUGAGGGAUGAGGGCCUUCGGGUUGUAAACCUCUUUCAAUAGGGACGAAGCGAAAGUGACGGUACCUAUAGAAGAAGCACCGGCCAACUACGUG
rnacentral:rRNA from 1 species